rnacentral:rRNA from 1 species
AAAACUCACCAGGUCCAGAUACUAAUAUGAAGGUCAAUGACUGAAAGACUUUACCCAAUUAUGUAAGUGGUGGUGCAUGGUCGUUCGUGGUUCGUGGAUUGAUUUGUCUGGUUUAUUCCGAUAACGAGCGAGACCCCAGCGUCAUAUUAGAAGCCGUAGCUCGACUGGGACCACCCUUCGGGGGGCGCAAGCUUCCCGGAGGACACCGUGUCAGCUACAGCUUUAGUAGGCUUCUUGGACGGAUCAGGGCCGAUAAGGUCCUUGAAAUGGGUUAAUAACGGGUCAGUCAUGCCCUUAGAUGUUCUGGGCCGCACGCGCGUUACAAUGGCAUGUAAAGCGAGUGCCGGUUAACAUGGCAUAUCCGGGGCCGAAAGGCCCUGGUAACCAUUAGUCCCUGCUUAGACUGGGACAGAUCAUUGCAAUUAUUGGUCUCAAACGAGGAAUUUUUAGUAAGCAUAGGUCAUUAACCUUUGCUGAAUGCGUCCCUGCCCUA